GAUGAACGCUGGCGGCGUGCCUAAUACAUGCAAGUCGAGCGAACAGACUAGUAGCUUGCUCCUCUGACGUUAGCGGCGGACGGGUGAGUAACACGUGGAUAACCUACCUAUAAGACUGGGAUAACUUCGGGAAACCGGAUCUAAUACCGGAUAAUAUAUUUAACCGCAUGGUUCAAUAGUGAAAUACGGUUUUGCUUUCACUUAUAGCUUGAUCCGCGCCGCAUUAGCUAGUUGGUAAGGUAACGGCUUACCAAGGCAACGAUGCGUAGCCGACCUGAGAGGGUGAACGGCCACACUGGAACUGAGACACGGUCCAGACUCCUACGGGAGGCAGCAGUAGGGAAUCUUCCGAAAUGGGCGAAAGCCUGAAGGAGCAACGCAGCGUGAGUGAUGAAGGGCUUCGGAUCGUAAAACUCUGUUAUUAGGGAAGAACAAAUGUGUAAGUAACUAUGCACGUCUUGACGGUACCUAAUCAGAAAGCAACGGCUAACUACGUG
rnacentral:rRNA from 1 species